AUUGAACGCUGGCGGCAGGCCUAACACAUGCAAGUCGAACGGUAACAGGAAGCAGCUUGCUGCUUUGCUGACGAGUGGCGGACGGGUGAGUAAUGUCUGGGAAACUGCCUGAUGGAGGGGGAUAACUACUGGAAACGGUAGCUAAUACCGCAUAACGUCGCAAGACCAAAGAGGGGGACCUUCGGGCCUCUUGCCAUCGGAUGUGCCCAGAUGGGAUUAGCUAGUAGGUGGGGUAACGGCUCACCUAGGCGACGAUCCCUAGCUGGUCUGAGAGGAUGACCAGCCACACUGGAACUGAGACACGGUCCAGACUCCUACGGGAGGCAGCAGUGGGGAAUAUUGCACAAUGGGCGCAAGCCUGAUGCAGCCAUGCCGCGUGUAUGAAGAAGGCCUUCGGGUUGUAAAGUACUUUCAGCGGGGAGGAAGGGAGUAAAGUUAAGACCUUUGCUCAUUGACGUUACCCGCAGAAGAAGCACCGGCUAACUCCGU
rnacentral:rRNA from 1 species